CCACAUUGGGGGAGAAAAGAACAUGUGAGAAGACAUCAUGGAGGGCAGGGCUGUGUCCCUAGCCUCUUCACUGUGUGAUCUCAGGGAACUGAAAAUCAACUGUGAAGACAGUCCAGAAUACAAAAAGAGGUGAGGGUAACCCAAAAGGCAAGGGACCUGCCUAUGGGAGGUCUAUGGCUGUGGCAUCCAACCCCAACAGGAACAAAUGGAUGAGCUGUUCUGACAACUGAGCAGACCUUGAAUAAUGUGCACCUGAAGUCAACCACUGGAGAGACCUCAUGAAGCCAGACAGUGGUGAACCUGGGUGAUUCCAUCCACAGAAGUCACCUGGGAUCCAGUGGAGCUGGAACAAAUGGAGCAUG